GCUCUCUUUACAGGAAGUGUUUAUGGAAGGCUGUGCAAGUCACAUGCAGGGAGGUGUGGCUAGGGUUCAUAAACAAAGGGAUUUAACUCCUAAAUGGCAGAGGAUUGAGCAGUGAGGCUGCAGGGGCAUGUUCUAUACACCAAAACUGUUUCAUUAAGCUGAAGUUGUUCAGGUGACUAUAGUGUCCCUUUAAACCAAAGCAAUGAUACUAACUUUGCUUGCACAUAUAAUUACUUGUAAAUAAUGCCAAUAAUACACACUCAAUUGUUUAGCCACUAAAAGCAAAU